rnacentral:rRNA from 1 species
GUGGGGAAUCUUGCGCAAUGGGCGAAAGCCUGACGCAGCCAUGCCGCGUGAAUGAUGAAGGUCUUAGGAUUGUAAAAUUCUUUCACCGGGGACGAUAAUGACGGUACCUGGAGAAGAAGCUCCGGCUAACUUCGUGCCAGCAGCCGCGGUAAUACGAAGGGGGCUAGCGUUGCUCGGAAUUACUGGGCGUAAAGGGCGCGUAGGCGGACAGCUUAGUCAGAGGUGAAAGCCCAGGGCUCAACCUUGGAAUUGCCUUUGAUACUGGCUGUCUGGAGUUUGGGAGAGGUGAGUGGAACUCCGAGUGUAGAGGUGAAAUUCGUAGAUAUUCGGAAGAACACCAGUGGCGAAGGCGACUCACUGGCCCAAUACUGACGCUGAGGCGCGAAAGCGUGGGGAGCAAACAGGAUUAGAAACCCCAGUAGUCC